UGUAGAGUGGCAGAGCACUUGCCUAGCAUGCAUGAAGCCCUGGGUUCAAUCCCCAGCACUGCAA
rnacentral:tRNA from 1 species